rnacentral:rRNA from 1 species
GAUGAACGCUGGCGGCGUGCCUAAUACAUGCAAGUCGAGCGAACGGACGAGAAGCUUGCUUCUCUGAUGUUAGCGGCGGACGGGUGAGUAACACGUGGAUAACCUACCUAUAAGACUGGGAUAACUUCGGGAAACCGGAGCUAAUACCGGAUAAUAUUUUGAACCGCAUGGUUCAAAAGUGAAAGACGGUCUUGCUGUCACUUAUAGAUGGAUCCGCGCUGCAUUAGCUAGUUGGUAAGGUAACGGCUUACCAAGGCAACGAUGCAUAGCCGACCUGAGAGGGUGAUCGGCCACACUGGAACCGAGACACGGUCCAGACUCCUACGGGAGGCAGCAGUAGGGAAUCUUCCGCAAUGGGCGAAAGCCUGACGGAGCAACGCCGCGUGAGUGAUGAAGGUCUUCGGAUCGUAAAACUCUGUUAUUAGGGAAGAACAUAUGUGUAAGUAACUGUGCACAUCUUGACGGUACCUAAUCAGAAAGCCACGGCUAACUACGUGCCAGCAGCCGCGGUAAUACGUAGGUGGCAAGCGUUAUCCGGAAUUAUUGGGCGUAAAGCGCGCGUAGGCGGUUUUUUAAGUCUGAUGUGAAAGCCCACGGCUCAACCGUGGAGGGUCAUUGGAAACUGGAAAACUUGAGUGCAGAAGAGGAAAGUGGAAUUCCAUGUGUAGCGGUGAAAUGCGCAGAGAUAUGGAGGAACACCAGUGGCGAAGGCGACUUUCUGGUCUGUAACUGACGCUGAUGUGCGAAAGCGUGGGAAUCAAACAGGAUUAGAUACCCUGGUAGUCCACGCCGUAAACGAUGAGUGCUAAGUGUUAGGGGGUUUCCGCCCCUUAGUGCUGCAGCUAACGCAUUAAGCACUCCGCCUGGGGAGUACGACCGCAAGGUUGAAACUCAAAGGAAUUGACGGGGACCCGCACAAGCGGUGGAGCAUGUGGUUUAAUUCGAAGCAACGCGAAGAACCUUACCAAAUCUUGACAUCCUUUGACAACUCUAGAGAUAGAGCCUUCCCCUUCGGGGGACAAAGUGACAGGUGGUGCAUGGUUGUCGUCAGCUCGUGUCGUGAGAUGUUGGGUUAAGUCCCGCAACGAGCGCAACCCUUAAGCUUAGUUGCCAUCAUUAAGUUGGGCACUCUAAGUUGACUGCCGGUGACAAACCGGAGGAAGGUGGGGAUGACGUCAAAUCAUCAUGCCCCUUAUGAUUUGGGCUACACACGUGCUACAAUGGACAAUACAAAGGGCAGCGAAACCGCGAGGUCAAGCAAAUCCCAUAAAGUUGUUCUCAGUUCGGAUUGUAGUCUGCAACUCGACUACAUGAAGCUGGAAUCGCUAGUAAUCGUAGAUCAGCAUGCUACGGUGAAUACGUUCCCGGGUCU